UACGUAGGGGGCAAGCGUUGUCCGGAUUUAUUGGGCGUAAAGAGCGUGUAGGCGGCCAGGUAGGUCCGUUGUGAAAACUCGAGGCUCAACCUCGAGACGUCGAUGGAAACCAUCUGGCUAGAGUCCGGAAGAGGAGAGUGGAAUUCCUGGUGUAGCGGUGAAAUGCGCAGAUAUCAGGAAGAACACCCGUGGCGAAGGCGGUUCUCUGGGACGGUACUGACGCUGAGACGCGAAAGCGUGGGGAGCAAACAGG
rnacentral:rRNA from 1 species